GACGUAGGGCGCGAGCGUUGUCCGGAUUUAUUGGGCGUAAAGAGCUCGUAGGCGGCUUGUCGCGUCGACUGUGAAAUCCCGCGGCUCAACCGCGGGUCUGCAGUCGAUACGGGCAGGCUAGAGUUCGGUAGGGGAGACUGGAAUUCCUGGUGUAGCAGUGAAAUGCGCAGAUAUCAGGAGGAACACCGAUGGCGAAGGCAGGUCUCUGGGCCGAUACUGACGCUGAGGAGCGAAAGCGUGGGGAGCGAACAGG
rnacentral:rRNA from 1 species